GUAGUUAGCCGGGGCUUCCUCCUUGGGUACCGUCACUUUCUUCGUCCCCAAGGACAGAGGUUUACAAUCCGAAAACCUUCUUCCCUCACGCGGCGUUGCUGGGUCAGAGUUGCCUCCAUUGCCCAAUAUUCCCCACUGCUGCCUCCCGUAGGAGUCUGGACCGUAUCUCAGUUCCAGUGUGGCCGAUCACCCUCUCAGGUCGGCUACCCAUCGCGGGCUUGGUGGGCCGUUACCUCACCAACUACCUAAUGGGACGCGAGCCCCUCUACAAGCGAUAAAUCUUUUACCCCUGUGCCAUGCAGCACUGUGGUCUCAUGCGGUAUUAGCAGCCGUUUCCAGCUGUUGUCCCCCUCUUGUAGGCAGGUCGCUCACGCGUUACUCACCCGUCCGCCACUAACACUUCUCAGGUGCAAGCACCCAAUGGUGUCCGUUCGACUUGCAUGUGUUAAGCACGCCGCCAGCGUUCGUCCUGAGCCAGGAUCAAACUCUGA
rnacentral:rRNA from 1 species